GCCUAGUUUUCAAAGACAGAACUUAUGAAUAAUGUUUUUAAAACUUGACUGUUCUUAAUAUACUACUGUUCAAGAGAUGGCUUAUUCUCAAACCCAAAUAUUCUGUGAAGUCAGAAGGCAAAAUAAGGAUAAACUUUCUUAGUUAAAAGGCAAGUCUUUAAACUGAAAACUUUUUAACUGGCAAUUUCAGUAUCUGCCAUAAAUAGUGCUUUAAUUGAGGUUGGAAGUGCACAAAUCAGUCAGUCUACUGUUCUGUCUUUAUGCCACACCUAUUACAUGUAAGUAGAGUUCUGAGUAUCUGUUACUUCUCAGAGUAGUUAUUUGCAGCAAAUAUCACAGUUUGUAAGCAUAUUUGUGGUAAAGGUUGUUAUGACAUAGCUAUUAUAAGAACAGUGUUAGUAUCAUGUAUAAACAUGAAACACCUAUAAAAGAACCUUUCACCUAUGAACUGUAGUGGUGUAAUAUUUUUGACCCACUGAAAUUCACUUUAUCAAAUACAAGAUUACCAAACCACAAACUCUGGUUGCUUGAAGGAAAAUGGCUGAGUGAUUGGGCAAUUUUAACUAUAUUGGCUUAAAAUCCCUAUUGCUGAUACAAUGUAAAGUUUUUUUUCUCUUUGAUUUUUUUUUUUCUUUUUAUGUGCAGGCUUGUAGAGCUUAAAAGAAAAGAGGCUUUUUAAUAGUAUUUUUUAGGAAAAUGUAAAAAUGCCAGAUAGUAUACAAAAUUUGCUCAGACUUGUAAUCCAUAGACAUUAUAAAAGGUAUUUGAAGGUAAGUCAGUAAGUGUUCUGCCUUUUACUUCUGCUGACACAGCUAAGGUUUUAGUGGGUAGCGUUAUGUUUCUGUAGACUAGUCUAAACAUAGGAGUUUGGGUUUUCCACAGAUACAACAUGUAAUUCCACUGAAAGAUGCUAAAUAUAAGUUCUUUCAUUGUAUCUCUGGUAUCAAAGUUCUGCUUUUCAAAUACUUUUCUAAACCUGAACUCUUCCUUUUUGUAGGGUGGAAUAGAAGAGUCAUUAUUCAGCUACUGUGCUGAGUAAGGCCACCUCCUCGGUCACACAAACAGUAGCUGUAAAACUCAGAGAAAAGGUUUUAAUGCUAGUGCCAUUUUGUCCUAGCCUUUGAGAUGUCAAUUAUUAGAAACAUGUUUACUCUUAAAAAGGUGUAUUCUAGACAUAUGUUCUAAUACCUGUGAUUUAGGUUUUUUUCUGGAGCAGAGAGCUCUUGUUGCCUCAGUUUUGACAAUGCACAUAAGGCAUGCUCUUAAUGCCGAUAAAUGAUGUCUGGCCUUACCCAGCUCGAGAGAAGAGCAAGUGCUGAAGAGGCUUAUGCUUCUUAAGUUCUAUAUAUUUGCACAGCAGAGGUAGGCUUGCAAGCUAGAUUUUUAGUUGAUAUACCUCUGAGUAAUAGAGAUAUGGCUCUACUUUCAUCUGUGUUCUGCAGUAUGGGGAACCUGGGAUGCGCUGCGUGCCAGCUGUAACCCAGCUCCCAUGUAGGUACAUCCCUUUCUGGGAACCUCAGAAGUAGAACACCUCACUCAGGCACAUGAAUGUCGCACUGUUGGUUUAUGCUGAUGUGGAUGUGGCAUAUAUUGGAGAAUAUAAAGGCAACUUCUGUAAGCUGAUCUUCCUACUACCCUGUUGUGGUUUUUUGUUUUUUUUUUUUCCCCUUCUUCCUGUUAGUCUUGUAAUUCUUCAUCUUCCAUCCAGUGCCUGAAUUAGUCUCUCUGUUUACAUAUGUAUCUUACUUGCUUGGCUUAGCUGUAAGUUGAAACUCUAGGUUUGCAUCUGCAGUCUUUUUCUACUGUCUUUUCACUGGGAGGUGGGGGGAGUGCUUUAUUUUGAAAUAAUCUUUGAUGCUUGUACUGUGAGGUGACUUGGGCCUGUGAAAAUACUUUUCCCAGCAAGUUUUCAGAGGAAUGUCUCUCUUCUUACCCAUUUGGAAAAAUUUAUGCUCCUUCUAAUUCUCUACCUCUAAAGCAAAUUCUCCCUAUGAGAAGAUAAGAUAGGUUUCUCAACUAGAAGCUUUGAUUUCAGGGGCAUAUUUGCAUUUUACAGUAUGUAUUUCAAGGAUCAACCUAUAUCAGGUAUCUAGAGUACUUGUCUGUGUCCUUUUCUUUGUACCAUAGUGAUUUCUAAACUAAGAACACCACCACCAUGUAAUUGCAGUUCUAAAUUACAAUCCCUAUUUAUAACUCACUGUGGCAGGGUCAGCCUUGUUUCCUGAAGAGUUGCUUCUGUGCUAUCCCUUAACUGAAAAUCAUAGGAAAUGUAGUUUUUCCAGUUUUAAAGUAUUUUGCUUUGAAAGUGUAAGUUUGGAAAGCAAGUAGCUUAUAUGGAUGCUAAGUGGAUUUCAUUGAAUUGUUGUCACAACCGUGCAUCCUAAAGUUUCUUCCCCACCCCCCACCCCCAUCAUUCAGAAUUUGAAUUUUAGGCUGCUGUCAAGAAUGUAAUAGAAAUGUGUGAAUCAAAGUUACUUAGUAUUGUCUGGCUUUGUAGCAUUUAAAAAAAAAAAAAGUCACAAAUGUGGUAGUUGGUCCCAGACUUAAGAGCUUAUAAUGCUAUUUCUGUUGAUGUAGGGCAGGAAAAAAGAAAUUGUCUGCUUUGAUAAUUUGUUCAGUAUUUAUUCUGAUAAAAAUCUUGCUUUGUUGGAAUGUCUGUUCUGGAACAAAUCGUUCUAUGCUACUUGUAUAAAUUAGUCUAUUGUAUUUAGUUGAGGUCCCCUUAACUUGCCAUGUAACAAAAUUUACUAGGCUACAAUAGCAAUGAGUGAAAGAUUGGGUGAACCGUUAAGCUUUCUUAGAUUACUAUUAUUAUUUUUUUAAAGCAGACAGAUAAAUGGGACUUGAGUUGUGUGCACACAGUCCUUGCUGUUUGCAGACAAGCUAAAACUACAAAGGGAUAAAAAUCCCAAAGAGCAGUUGAGAUUUGUUUGUCUUCAUUGGAUUUAUGCAUUGCAAAAGAAAUAGAGGAAAACUAUAGAAUAUGUUAAUAAACCUAGAUUUUAAAUUUCGUGAUUGUGUGAUAAUGCUUGUAGGUGUGGAACACUGCAAAAAGCCCAGAUGCUAGGUAGGGGCUAAUAGAAUUUUUUUUUUUUUUUUUUACUUUAAUGUUCUUAAAUAUCAUGAAUAUACCAUUAAAGAUGACCUAAAAUGAAACUCAUUAAGUUACAAUUCAGCUUUUCUAGCAGCUUUCUUCUAUUCUGAGCAUCUCUCCAACUCAUUUUAGAUUGCCUCAUGGGCUGUUGUACCUUUUGCUCAACAUUACAGCCCUGUUAGGAUUAGCCAGUCAGGAUUCCUUAUUUGUUAGGCAGAGGAUUAACAGGGCUGCCUCCCAGCAAGCCUGCAAGCAGGUAAAGAGGCGCUUUACUUUUCUAGGAUUAAUGAGUUUAAAACCAUCCAGGUUAGGAUUCAUGCUUCAUGUUUCAGGGAGGUUUUUAAAGGUAAAUGAAACUUGUCAUGGAACGCAGGAGCACUCCACCACAUAGUUUAUGGAGCUCUUACAACUCAAAAACAUAGGGCUAAAAGUAUAAUUUGUGUUAACAGGUGGGCUUUCAGCCUCAAAGAGCCUGAAAACUUCUGAAAGCCAAAACAGUCACUCUGACUUUCUAACUUACUGUGAAUUGGAGAGGUCCAUACAUUAGCAUUUCAAAAUGCAACCAGUUGUGUAAUAUGGUGUGGUUACUAUUUUGAAAAAUCAAAAUACAGAGAUUUGAAUAACUAGCUAAAAGGUAUAUGGCUGUUCUUCUGAAUGAAGUCAUCUGGUUUUAUGCUUGUCUAGGUUUUUAGUGAAGUAAACCAGUUUAAUAAUUCAGUCAUUGCUGACUAAGUUUAAAAAAACUUGAUAUUAAAACAGUUAAGUUGCUACAGAAUUUUAUGUGGAGAUAACCUGGACCUAAGGUGAAUGCUGUUGAACUAAUGGUGUCAACUUCAGUGGACAUUAUCAGGGCUAGCUCAGUAGAUAGUACUGGAAAGUAAUUGAUGGAUACCUGAGAUUUUUGUGACAGUACCAGGGACUCAGAGGUGGAGUAUGAUUAUGAUACAAGUGUGGAAAAUAAUGUAGGAUAUCCUGACUUACUGGACGAAUGCUCCAGGGAGAGAGGAAACAUUCACGAGGGAGAUUUAAAACUAAAUUCUGUAGGUAAGUGUGCUCUUAUUUAUUUAAUUUGCCUCUUCCUAACAUUGAAACAGUGUAUUUUAGGCUGAUUACUUAAGCUUAGUGUUAAAAUGUUAGGAAGUAGGGAUCUUCUGUUUAGGAUUAACUUCACAUUUCAAUCCUCUGGAGGAGCAGGCAUUCUUCCCAGGUCUGGUCAGAUGCACUUAAGAGGUAAAUGUAGCUGUUUAUACUCUUCCUGAGGGAAUGAUGAACUCUUUUUUGAAGCUCUGCCUAGUAAUGCAGGGGUGACAAAACAUCCAGAGUAGGGAGAGAGGAGAGAACAGAUCAGGUGUCAGGAAUCUUGCAGCAAAUACACGGAGUUGUGUGUUGUGCCUGCAAGGAUGCAAGGACUGGAGUGUGCUUUAUCUUGAGGGUGCCGUUUUCAUGGUCAGUUGGAGUACGCUGAAGUUCAAGCAGGUUUGGCACAAGCUAAGCAGUAGCAAAAGCUUCUGCCUUUAGGAGGAAAUCCAGGCUCUGCUUGUUUUGAUCACCUAAGAACAUGCUCUAUAAAACAGGGAACUUCUAGCGGACAGCCCAACUUGUCAGCUCCAAAAAAAUGAGUGUGUUCAUGCUUUAUUCCUUUUUGGUUAGUUGGCUGCUUGUACUGGUGCUCCCAACGCUUCUGUUUUCCAGCUAAAGGCAGAGCUGGGACUGGGGGAAGGGAGGGAAUAGGUUCCAGCAAAGCAGACAGCAGCAUCCUGGAAUCCAGACAAAGUACAGCAGCUGGGAGUGGCUGCAACAUGUUUCCUGCAAGCUUCAAACUGGGUGGUAUUGCAUAUUACCUGGCUUUUUUCUGUUGCAUUCAUCACAGCUAGCUUGUAGAUGGAGAACUAAACACUGGCACUUUGUCAUCUAAAGGUGGCUUAGUGGUUGGGAUAUUCAUGAUUAUCAAAGAGGAUUUUGAGUCAAAUGUCUGGCUUCUAUGCAAAAAAAAUUGAGAUCUAAAAUUUAUGGUCACUACAGUAGAUACAAAGUGACUUGCGGCAACAGUAGAAGGAUCUUCCCACUCAGUUCUACAGUGAGCAGCAGCCCUUAAAUAUUUUUAAACCUUUUGAAUGUGAGAGCCAUACCCGCAAAGAAAAUGUAAGUAUGUGUGUAUUAGAGAGCCUUGUUAUGCAGGGAGCAGCGCUGGUUUUUCCUAAAUUUGGCUAAUAGUGACAGAGGCUUUUAGUAAAACUUAUAUUGAGGUUAACUGGAUUUUGCUACAACAGAAAAUGCAAACUUGAGCAUGUUAGCUGCUAAACGCUAAGUCAUGGCAUGAAGCUUUCGUAAUGAAUUAAUAAACACUGCAAUGUCUGUUCUGUAUAACACUGCAAGAGUUCAUUUGAGUAAGUCUUAGCACUUCUGAUAAUUAUCUCACAUCUUUUAAUCCUUACUGCUUUUGAUUCUUGUCUUGCAAACCUUUGGAUAUUAUCUGUCCACUCAGAAAUGUGCCCUUUAACAGCCAUUUAAAGCCAUUGAACCUUUUCUUGCAAACUAUCAAUUCUUACAAAUUUCAGGACAAAGAAAAGCUCUGCUUGUAACAUAGUGAAUUUUAAAGUAUUUAAUAAACCAUGUAUAACAGUCUAUCUCUGCUAGAUUAACCUUUGGAAUAUAUUGUCUGCUUGGGCAAAGUCUUUGCUGGUGGUCAGGUAUUUUUGUAUCCAUUGAUAUUGCUUGAAACAGACUACAAUGUUUUGAUACAUUGCAAAAGUGGAAGGAGCCCUUUCCUUAAAAAAAAAAAAAAACCAACAAAAAAACAACAAACAACCCCCCCAUCACAAUAGCAGUACAGGAAAAAGCCCCACCAGAAUUGUCAUGCAGAAUAGCAGUUGGCUGGUGUAGAACUAGCACAGAAUUGCAUCUGACAGUCUGCUUAACAAAAGUCCAGCUGCACAGAGAUGCCUGCAGCUUUUUCCCUGACAAAUGUCUGGGCUUGCUGUUGUAUUCCCUUCUUUACAGCACUGGUUCUAGCUUUGCUUCCAUUACCACUCUUCCCAGCUGGAGUUUGCCUUUGUUCUUUGCCUCUUUGCUGCAAAUACUCCUAGCUUCUGUGUACCUUACUCAUUGGAGACUUGUCCUGCUGUGAUCUAGCAAUGGCUGGUAGGCAGAGAUUGGCUCUUAGCCCUUCUCAAAAUGAAGUUGGGUUUUUUUGGUUUCAAUUUCUGUUUUAUAAUGUAAGGAAUGUGCAAAUACUUGGGGAAAACGAGCCAAUUUCUAUUUUUACCUGGGUCAGGUGAAUACUACCAUUACUUGUUUAUAUUCUCCCACACAACCUGUAACCUGUCUCUUUCAGAUGUGAGAGAAUAUUAAAGUAGUUUGAAAGCUGUCUUAGCAAAACUGUCUUUAAAAUGAGGUGUUUACCUGCUUCCUUCUUGGUUUCAGGAUACUGUACUUCCUCCCUGUAAGUCUGUUUAUCUUGAGCUAAUAGUAUUUCACCCCAGGUAGCGACUAGCCUCUGUGUAGACUUUUUGCAGGUGUGCAAGAGCAGCAGUGUCACAGUGGUAGAGAUUGUUCUGAAACACUGCAUUUUGUGCAGCCUCAGUAUUGCAGCCUUCAGCAAAAAUAAUGUUGAUUCAGUAUUUGAAAGGGAGUGUUUUACUCAAGUGUUUGUAAUAAAUACAAUGCUUUGUACAAGCCGAUUUAAAAGGAACUGGACUAGUAACACUGGUAGGGAAACACUUGGGUGUUUGUGUCUUCCCAAAUCUGACAGCACUGAAUCUUACUCUUAAACCUAAUUUUUAAUUAUGCUGUUUCUUUAUGGUAUUUUUGUAUUGUGUACUUUGUAUGAGCAUUCAGUGAAUUCUCCCCUUAAAUUAUUUUGAAGUGAGUUCCAGUAUCACUACUGAAAGUCCAUUGCACUUCAGACAUGGAAGCUGCAGCAAAAUGGCUAACCCCAGAACUUAAAUUUACAACAUGGGCUUUAGAUUAUAGUAUGAUUUAGAGGGAGAGACACAGACAUUUUUUUCCAUUGUUCUUAUUAACUUUUUUAA